rnacentral:SRP_RNA from 1 species
GCUGGGCGUGGUGGCGGGCGCCUGUAAUCUCAGCUACUCAGGAGGCUGAGGCAGGAGAAUCGCUUGAACCCGGGAGGCGGAGGUUGCAGUGACAGCGCCACUGCACUCCAGCCUGGGUGACAGAGCGAGACUCCGUCUCAA